GUGGGGUAAAAGCCUACCAAGGCGACGAUCAGUAGCUGGUCUGAGAGGAUGAUCAGCCACACUGGGACUGAGACACGGCCCAGACUCCUACGGGAGGCAGCAGUAGGGAAUAUUGGACAAUGGGCGAAAGCCUGAUCCAGCCAUGCCGCGUGAGUGAUGAAGGCCCUAGGGUUGUAAAGCUCUUUAGCCCGCGAAUAAAAUGACUGUAGCGGGAGAAUAAGCCCCGGCUAACUUCGUGCCAGCAGCCGCGGUAAUACGAAGGGGGCGAGCGUUGUUCGGAAUUACUGGGCGUAAAGCGUGCGUAGGCGGUUAUGAAAGUUGGGAGUGAAAUCCCCGGGCUCAACCUGGGAAUUGCUUUCAAAACUUCAUGACUAGAAUUCGGGAGAGGAUAGCGGAAUAUCCAGUGUAGAGGUGAAAUUCGUAGAUAUAGGAUGGAACACCAGUGGCGAAAGCGGCUAUCUGGACCGACAUUGACGCUGAGGC
rnacentral:rRNA from 1 species